GACCUUUUGCUUCCUUAGGGUUUCUAAUUCUUCAAUAGGCCAUUGAACUAAUUGUUUACCACUAAGGUCUAGCCAUACUUGUCGCGGAAUACCUUGAAUUCCAGCCCAUCCUUUCUUAAUUUCAUCGGAUUCAUUUGACCAACCCCAAAUAACCCUUCGAUUUCUGCUAGGAUCAUAGAAUGUCUUCGAUGCAUAGAAAUUACCAUAGUCGAUUCUCAAUCCCUUCCAACCAUCAAUUGAAUUGUUAUUCGGAAUAUACCUAUCUAUUUUGG
rnacentral:misc_RNA from 1 species